UUUUAUUUUAAAAAACUAUAUGGAUACGUACAAAAGAGAAGCAUGUGUUGAUCAGAACAGAUUUUUAAUGAGCACGUUUUUAAAACAUGGGCUACUAUACUACACAUCUGCAUUUAGGAUAUCAAUAAUCAAACAGAUCAUCUCACAAUAUGCAGCUGGGUCUAUACUGCUCCUACAUGGUGUAACAUCAUGUAGAUGUAUAUAAUGAACAGACUAGGUCUAUACUGCUCCUGCAUGGUGUAACAAUACAUCAUGUAGAUGUAUAUAAUGAACAGACUAGGUCUAUACUGCUCCUACAUGGUGUAACAAUACAUCAUGUAGAUGUAUAUAAUGAACAGACUAGGUCUAUACUGCUCCUAUAUGGUGUAACAAUACAUCAUGUAGAUGUAUAUAAUGAACAGACUAGGGCUAUACUGCUCCUAUAUGGUGUAACAUUAUGUAGAUGUAUAUAAUGAACAGACUAGGUCUAUACUGCUCCUAUAUGGUGUAACAAUACAUCAUAUAUAUAAUGAACAGACUAGGUCUAUACUGCUCCUAUAUGGUGUAACAAUACAUCAUAUAUAUAAUGAACAGACUAGGUCUAUACUGCUCCUAUAUGGUGUAACAAUACAUCAUGUAUAUGUAUAUAAUGAACAGACUAGGUCUAUACUGCUCCUACAUGGUGUAACAAUACAUCAUGUAUAUGUAUAUAAUGAACAGACUAGGUCUAUACUGCUCCUACAUGGUGUAACAAUACAUCAUGUAGAUGUAUAUAAUGAACAGACUAGGUCUAUACUGCUCCUACAUGGUGUAACAUCAUGUAGAUGUAUAUAAUGAACAGACUAGGUCUAUACUGCUCCUACAUGGUGUAACAAUACAUCAUGUAGAUGUAUAUAAUGAACAGACUAGGUCUAUACUGCUCCUACAUGGUGUAACAAUACAUCAUGUAGAUGUAUAUAAUGAACAGACUAGGUCUAUACUGCU